ensembl:lncRNA
AGUAGCGCUUCAAUUAUUUGACAUUUCUAUCACCGAUGAAGUUCUCCUUUUAGCUUUGGAAAAUGUUCAGUAUAACAUUUUCAAGUACUGAGCAACUCAUUUUUAUAUCUUCUGACAGCUUUAAGCCAGCUUUUUCUCCUGGGAGCUGAGGCUGUUUGUGUUAGUACACUCAUGGUGCCUGGAUCCAACCUCAUUGCUGAUAUCUAAGAAGUCCGACAUCUCCGUGAAGGUAUUUUAUUGCCAUUUUUAGCAGAAAUGUAUAUAUUCCAUCCUGAUGAGACAAGGUCCGCAUACUUUUCCUUCAGCAUUUGGAAUCUUUUAAAUGUCUUCCAUGUCUUGUUAAAUGGGAUCAAAAAGGACUCCAGAACUGCAGAUGAAGGCACAUCUUCAGUCUUCCUCCAAUGAGAUGGUCUAUGUUAUGUUUGAUCGGGUUUAUUUAAACAGUCUAACAUCUUUCUGUAACAAACCACUCAAAAUAACACCUUUGUGCCAAAAAUACAGGGAGUCAGGACUGCCAGACUGGUUGGGUCAGACUAGAAGUCACAGUAACCCAAUAGUUGUCUAAAUAGGCGUAAACAGUGGCUGGGUGGGAAGAGAGGAGCGUGAGGCAGGCUAGAGGGAUGCUUCCCCUCCGCCCUUCCAGCAGUCUGUCUCAGGUUGCAGCUAAGCCAUCAUUUUUAUAGCCACUAAUGGCCUAUUCUCCGCUAAUCUGGAUAAUCCCUUUUUGACCACUUUUAUACCUUUGCCUUCCACAAAUCUCGGCUGCAGUCAGUUGCAGGACUUGGCCCGUGCUGCAUGAAUGUCUGCGUCUUUGCUCUCCUCGAGCCAGUUGCCUGAUGGCUUCAUGGGGUGCCCGUAGCUCUGGUAGCAUCUUUCCCUACCUACCUCUGUUGCACUAUUUAGGAGUUUUUUUUUAUUCUCCAUCCUUUUCCUUUUAUCAUUUCCUCAGAGAGCUGGAAGGUUGAUAUAAUCCCAGGAGCUGAAAAAUUGAAGAAAAUCUCUAGCGAGCAGGAAAAUGAUCACCUAUCUGGGUUUUGGAAAUAUUAAAUAUUUUCAGACU